rnacentral:rRNA from 1 species
GGACGAACGCUGGCGGCGCGCUUAAUACAUGCAAGUCGAACGAGAAGCCAGAGCUUGCUCUGGUGGAAAGUGGCGAACGGGUGAGUAACACGUGAGAAACCUGCCCCAAAGAUUGGGAUAAGCCUUGGAAACGAGGUCUAAUACCAAAUACCUUCUUUUAACACAUGUUAAAAGAAGAAAUGCUCCGGCGCUUUGGGAUGGUCUCGCGAUCUAUCAGCUUGUUGGUGAGGUAACGGCUCACCAAGGCAUCGACGGAUAGCUGGUCUGAGAGGAUGUCCAGCCACAUUGGAACUGAGACACGGUCCAAACUCCUACGGGAGGCAGCAGUAGGGAAUCUUGCACAAUGAGGGAAACCUUGAUGCAGCGACGCCGCGUGCGGGACGAAGGCCCUAGGGUUGUAAACCGCUUUCAGUAGGGACGAAAGUGACGGUACCUACAGAAGAAGCCCCGGCCAACUAUGUG